ACGGGUGAGUAACACGUGAGUAACCUGCCCUUGACUCUGGGAUAACCUCCGGAAACGGAAGCUAAUACCGGAUAUGACGCACGGAGGCAUCUCCUGUGCGUGGAAAGAAUUUCGGUCAAGGAUGGACUCGCGGCCUAUCAGGUAGUUGGUGAGGUAAAGGCUCACCAAGCCUACGACGGGUAGCCGGCCUGAGAGGGUGACCGGCCACACUGGGACUGAGACACGGCCCAGACUCCUACGGGAGGCAGCAGUGGGGAAUAUUGCACAAUGGGCGCAAGCCUGAUGCAGCAACGCCGCGUGAGGGAUGACGGCCUUCGGGUUGUAAACCUCUUUUAGUAGGGAAGAAGCGAAAGUGACGGUACCUGCAGAAAAAGCACCGGCUAACUACGUGCCAGCAGCCGCGGUAAUACGUAGGGUGCGAGCGUUGUCCGGAAUUAUUGGGCGUAAAGAGCUCGUAGGCGGUCUGUCGCGUCUGCUGUGAAAACCCGAGGCUCAACCUCGGGCCUGCAGUGGGUACGGGCAGACUAGAGUGCGGUAGGGGAGAAUGGAAUUCCUGGUGUAGCGGUGGAAUGCGCAGAUAUCAGGAGGAACACCGAUGGCGAAGGCAGUUCUCUGGGCCGUAACUGACGCUGAGGAGCGAAAGCGUGGGGAGCGAACAGGAUUAGAUACCCUGGUAGU
rnacentral:rRNA from 1 species